rnacentral:rRNA from 1 species
GAUGAACGCUGGCGGCGUGCCUAAUACAUGCAAGUCGAGCGAACGGACGAGAAGCUUGCUUCUCUGAUGUUAGCGGCGGACGGGUGAGUAACACGUGGAUAACCUACCUAUAAGACUGGGAUAACUUCGGGAAACCGGAGCUAAUACCGGAUAAUAUUUUGAACCGCAUGGUUCAAAAGUGAAAGACGGUCUUGCUGUCACUUAUAGAUGGAUCCGCGCUGCAUUAGCUAGUUGGUAAGGUAACGGCUUACCAAGGCAACGAUGCAUAGCCGACCUGAGAGGGUGAUCGGCCACACUGGAGCGGAGACACGGUCCAGACUCCUACGGGAGGCAGCAGUAGGGAAUCUUCCGCAGUGGGCGAAAGCCUGACGGAGCAACGCCGCGUGAGUGAUGAAGGUCUUCGGAUCGUAAAACUCUGUUAUUAGGGAAGAACAUAUGUGUAAGUAACUGUGCACAUCUUGACGGUACCUAAUCAGAAAGCCACGGCUAACUACGUG